GACGCGGCGGUGAUUUUGUCGGGCGGAGCGGCGGCGUUUCCAUCGGGAGGAGCGGUGGCGAUUCCGUCCAGUGAUUGUGCAGUCCUGUUGCGCAGUUUGCGGGAGGUGAAGUCUUUGGUUUGCUGGUGGCUACGACGCGGCUGUGAAGUUGGAGCUGAUUUCGUCAUGGGUCAUAGAAAAAGAUCAAAAGUGAAUAUUUCUAGUGAAUCUAACAGUGACAAUGAUUGUAGUUUGAGUUCUGAUAAUCAUGAUGGUGAUGUUCAUUUAUCUAAUCAUGAUGAAAGUUCUGAUAAUCAUGACCAACAUUUUGAGGAAAAUGAUCCUUUGCUUCAUUUAACUAAAGAAGAGCUUAUGAAGAAAUUGAAAAUAAAGCUUGGUAAAAGGCCAUUUACAGAUGACCAUAAAAAGAAGAGACAUAAAGUUGAAUCAGACUCAAUUAUCGAUGAUGCAUUGUUAGAGAUUCACAAUGAUCUAGUUCUCCAUUCUUUGAAAAUGAAAUUAAGCAUGCUUGGUGAACAGUCUAAAAAUAAGAAUGAUCUUAUGAAACACCCUUCAAAAACUAAUUUUGGAAUGGUCCAAAAGAGUUUUUCUGGAGCAUCACUUGCUAGACCAAUUGAGAUAUGUGACAUGCUGUUUUUCCCAAUAUUGCAUUUGAGGCAUUGGUUUCUGUUUGUUGUUGAUUUGAAAGAUGAGAGUUUUGUUUUCAUUGACUCCUUAUUUGAAGAAGAAGAAGACUAUCAAUACAAUGCUAGAUGCAGACUGAUAUCAAAAUUUUCAAUUGUAUGGAGGAAAUUUGUCCCUGAACAUCCAAUUAACUUUGCUAGUUUCAAGAUAAUAUACCCACCUCGUCCAAGACAAACAAAUCGCCUUGAUUGUGGUAUUUUUACUCUGAAAUUCAUGGAAAUUUGGCGUCCAAGAGUUCUGCUAACCAACCAGUUCUCUCAAAAAGACAUUCCUAACAUAAGGAUUCAAUAUGUCAACAAAUUAUUUUUCCAUCCAUGCAACAUUGUGCUGAACUCUACAACAAAGAAACUUGUUACUGACUAUUAUGCAAAGAGUCAACAAUUACAAGAUUUGCUGCAGAGUCCAACAAAAUUAAAUAAAAGGGAGAAGCAUUGA
rnacentral:lncRNA from 1 species